CGCGGGGUGGCGCUCUCACCAUGGUAAACCGGAAUAAAAGAAUGACGUGACAAACACUCGGCCUGAACAAUGCACACGAACACGCGAAACGAGAACCACAGAUAGCCGGACAACGACAAACGAUCUCCUUUCACCAGCAGGCUCAAACACACGUCAGCCACACUACGAAGGCGCACACUUUUCUUACACGAUAUCUAAGAAGUUGUCGGUUGUCGUAGGAUGAUGUUUAGAAUGUUGGCUAAAUUCAUGUGGUAACCGCGAAGAGGUUUUCGUACAAUACACACCGCUAUAGACGAUAUAGUGUACGUUAGCACGCCGUUUCCGUCGUCCUGCUCUAGCGGGAGCAAAUAGUGGGAGUAGCGAAAGCUGGCGAUGGUGUUUUUUUUUUUUUUUUUUUUUUUGCGUUCGCCAUGAUGGCUCGUCUCCGCCUUUGUGGCACGCCUAUCGAGCGGCGGUGAUUAGGGAGCCGACGAAGGCCUUGCGCCGCGGGCUGGAUCGGGGCAACAGCGAGGCUGCUUUGAUUUCGGGCAGUGAGACGCCGCGUUCUCAUCUGCCGCCCUGUCUACAGAGCACCGACGUCGACGCUAGAAACGCUGACGUGCUUGCUCCUAAAGUCAGGCCGCUCACCCGCGAAUCGUUAUCAGCAUCGCGCGUAACGAUCAUUUUGCACUCUGUCCAAUGAAGCCACGAACUGCGAGCACCGUCUUUGAAGCCAAUUGAACACGGCAAAGCGGCAAAGCCUCUUCUGGCCGGCGAGGCAAGAUUUUGACGUCACCGCGUGCCGGAAGCGGCAAUUUCCGGCACUGCGGCACCCGGCAGCUGUCCCACCGUGCUCCUACAUGCUCCUACCUUGUUUCGCCUGGUGCGCGCGUUCGUUUUUUAAAUUCUUUGCCGCUGACAGUUUAUUUAUUGCGUCUUUUGAAUGCGUGAAGGCUUAACGGGUGAUGCCGAACAGAUGUGCGCUAGCCUGUUCUACGAAAUGCCUAUGUUGAAGAGGGCACUGGCCGUUUUGUUUCCGAAGAAUCACAGCGCUCGGAACAAGUGUGUACUUAGGUGCCAUUCCUCGAGGCGUGUGGUGCCUACUUUCUAGACGAAGGGUCGACUUCGGGCAUCAGCCGCUGUGCGCGGUGCAAAAGACUCUACGAGCAGCACGGAUUCCCGGAGGCGCCGAGUUGGGCCCGCGUCGCUGAAGUGCGCACGCGAACUAUGCACAGAGAGGAGACGAGACAGUGUCUGCUCUGCUGCCGACGUUAGGGCAAAAAUGUGGAGGACUGCCGUUUCCUCGUCGUAUCUACCUUCGCCUCUUCUACCGCUACCAGGUUUACCAUCAGC